rnacentral:tRNA from 1 species
CUUUUAAUCUAGAUAAUGAUUACAAAAUAAUCCUUAAU